UCGACGCCCCCUCCCUUCGUCUCAACUUCUCUCUCUCCGCCCCUCCUCAUUCUAACCGUGCUUGGGUGGCGGCAGCGGUGAAGUGGCUCCCCCUUUCUGGUGAGAUCUAUAGCGCGACAGGCGGCAGUAGCGGUGAAGUGCCUCCACCUCCAGAUGAGAUCUGUUGCGCACACGAUCUCUCUCUCUCUCCCUCUCCCCCCUCUCUCUCUCACCAUCGUGGAUCAGCGCCGCCGUAGCCUGUGUUCAAUCCCACACCGCCGCCUCUAUCUCCCAGUGACGUCGUCUCGCCGCCCUCGGCCUCACCAUCAACUGAUGCAGGGGAGUGAUACUGCCACCUCCAUCUCCCCUUUCCCUGCCUCUGAACCCAACUGAGAAGAAACUCAUCUCUUCCCCUCUCCCAGGGCAUCCUCUCUUACCCUCCCAUGGCUCCUCGUCCUCCUCCCAUGGCCACCAACUUCUGCAAGGAUUUUUUAUUCAAGUUGUUCUUUGUCACCAGGUCGCCGGCAAGGUCUUAGUCCAUGAUUUGUUCGUCUCGCUUUAGAGAUGGUGGAGGUGAAGAAGUCUGAGCGAGGGCUCGAGGAGGUGGAGGAAGAGAUGGUGGCCAGCAUCGCUCCUUCGGCCAGGAAAACGUGGGCACUCCGGUUUGUUCAUAUCGACUAAAUCACGGGGUCGGUGAGUCACUAUUGCCCAAAGCCAAGCGGUGGAUGGCGCUCACGAGCAAAAGCAGUCACAUAAUCAUCUUCAGGGCUAAGAUCAACGUGCUCCUGCCUUUAGGCCCUUUGCCAUCACGCUCCACUACCUCUCCAGAAACCACAAUAAUCACACUUAUAAAUUAAUUUUCAGUAUUCAUCAGAAUUGUACAGUAUUACUUGCCCUUUUAUAUUUAAUUAUUUUUUCUAUUUAGUGUUACUUUUGAAUCUUUUAUAGCACAAGCAUCCGUUUCUUCUUAUAAAUUCUAUGUCACGUUUAGUUGCAGUAGCAAGACUGGCAUGUAGUGCCUUCUAUAUCCUCAAUUUUCUAUCUUCAAAUGGUUCAUAUUAAAGCAGAUGUACUCAAACAUGUAAUUAUGUUUCCCCAACAUUUGUGCCUUAUGCUAACAUAAUUUGAAAUGAAUCCAUGUGUUCUAGGAGGCAAAUUCGAGCUCCAUAUUACUUGGUCUGCUGCUUCUUCUGGGUUGUCUUCUACCUUCCAGUAGAUUCUAUGAAGCUCCAAUGGCUAUCAAACAGGUUAGUGCUCGUGCCCUAUUAUGCCUCAAGUUAAUUAUCUUGCAAUGCAAUUUCAUAUUUUAUGGUCUGAUUGCUCUAGGUGGAACUGACCGCUCUACUACAGUGUGAUUGCUCUAGAUGGAACUAACUGCUCUAUUGCACGACAUUGCUAGAUGCAUCGAAUUUAAGUGUCAGGAGUCUGCCUUUUGGUAUGCCCUUGUGGUGCGUUGCCUCUCCAUUAAAUUCUCAUGUUUGCGGAUUCUGGAGUGUAGUUAUAUUGUGGCAUACCUUUUUAGAUGAAAAUAUAAUGGAGUGGCAAAAAAAUACUUCUGCAAAGUUGUAGUCACAACUAUAAUUAUCCAAGGAGGAAGUGUUGUAAAAGGAGGAGAUGUCUUGCUCUACUGCUGCUUGGUACCAGACGUGAACAACUUCAUUAGGAGUUUACUGCAUGGUUGGAGGAAGGUAUUGAUGCCACUAGAGAUAAUAAACCAUUUGGAUCCCAAUACCAUACCAUGUUGAUCUACACCUGGUCUGCUUUCUCUCCUAUUUAUGCUUUCGUUUCAAUGGUUCUAAGGCUCGCACAUAAUGAUUAAGAAAAGUAGCACAAUGUUUUUUUGGCUAUUUGCUAUCGAUGGCAUGUUGCAGUUUGCCAUGGACCAUGCUAAACGUGCAUCUAUCCAAGGAAUAAUGUACCUUAUGGGAUUUCUCAUAUAUUUGUAGAUUUAUUGUAUUUUCUUUGAAUUGGAUUGUAGAUCUGUUUGUGUGUUGUCAGAAUAAACAAUGCAUGAAUUCGGUAACUGAUUUUAUAGCUGCAAUCUCCUAAGCACAAUUACUCAUGCUUUAUUUUCUAAUUUUCAGUUUUCUUUUGUCGUUAAAUACUAUACAGCUUGGUUUUGUUACUAACUUUAAUCCAACCAUAUAUUUACAUCAAUCACUAUUAUUUUAGUGACAAAAUAGACGGGCGCAGCAACGCACGCCAUCAUGGUCUAGUCAGGAGUUACGAUCACAGGCUUGUUCACCUGCCCCCAGGCUGCAGCAGUGCUUCUUGUUUGUGUCGAUUGCUACAGCUUCCUGAGCAAAUGUCCACCCGCAGGCGGGGUCGCAUCAGAUCCAAAGCUCUCGCCCGUGUCCACCCGCAGGCGCUACAACGUGAUGCAGAGGGCCAACUCGUCCUCGUCUACGGCAGCAUGGCGGGGGAAAUGUUCCAAUCUUCGUCGCUGGAGCCGUCGAAGUGGCUGCAGGUGCUGGACAUGGUCGCCGGAGAUUGGGAGUUGACGGAUUGGAGAAAGGGGGAACGAAGCGGAGCAGAGUGAAGUAAGGCUAAGGUUCGAUCCGGAUGGGGUUUUUGUGAAGUCAUUGUUGGCCAAAGGUGGGCUGUGUGGACAUGACGGACAUGCCCGAACCGUCUCUUAUCCGCCCUACAUUUGGGCUGAAAAUGAGGGAUGUCGGUCAGCCCAUGCGUUUGAGGUCGAUUUAAAGCAUCCGAAUAAGUCGGGUAUUUUGACCGGUCCUCCCGCCCGGGCAUUUGAUGGAUUUGAGGCGCUCGGCCAUUAGGGGCUCACGCACGUUUUGGUGAAUCACUUUUGGCAUUGUGCGGCCAUACAUGGUCAUGGAAUUAACGGUCCGUAGAUCGUGUAGCUAGCACAACUUGGCAUGGGCACCGGACCGGAUACAUGUUGUUCAUGUGCUGUAUACUCACACAGGCUUCACUAAUGCUCCAGAUCUUUCUUCAGUCUGAGUUGGGUUAGAAGCAUGGAAGGUAUUUGCACCAUCACCGUCCUCAAUU